rnacentral:rRNA from 1 species
GAGUUUGAUCCUGGCUCAGGGUGAACGCUGGCGACGUGGAUAAGGCAUGCAAGUCGAACGGAUCCGCCUCUUUGGCGGAUUAGUGGCAAACGAGUUAGUAACACGUGGAUACUUACCCUGUACUCGGGCACAACCAGCCGAAAGGUUGGCUAAUUCCCGAUGGUCUCGCAAGAGUAAAGCUUUCGCGGUACAGGAAAGGUCUGCGGCUUAUCAGCUUGUUGGUGGGGUAAUGGCCUACCAAGGCUAUGACGGGUAGGGGACGUGAGAGCGUGACCCCCAACGAUGGGACUGAGACACGGCCCAUACUCCUACGGGAGGCAGCAGUCGAGAAUAUUGGACAAUGGACGCAAGUCUGAUCCAGCGACGUCGCGUGCGGGAUGAAGGCCUUCGGGUCGUAAACCGCUUUUAUAGAGGAAGAAUCCGCCUCAUCGGCGGAUGACGGUACUCUAUGAAUAAGGGGGUGCUAAUUCUGUGCCAGCAGCCUCGGUAAAACAGAACCCCCGAGCGUUACCCGGAUUCAUUGGGGCGUAAAGCGUCUGUAGCCGGUUUGGCAAGUCUUAGGUUAAAUACCAAGAGCUCAAUUUUUGGAAUGCUUAAGAAACUGCCAGACUAGAGGGUGUUAGGGGUUGAUGGAACUCUUGGUGGAGCGGUGAAAUGCGUUGAUAUCAAGAGGAACACCAAAAGCGAAGGCAUUCAACUGGGGCAACCCCUGACGGGUGAGAGACGAAAAGCGGGGGGAGCAAAAGGGAUUAGAUACCCUUGUAGUCCACGCUGUAAACGAUGGAUACUAGCUAUGUGAAGUGUCGACCCUUCACGUGGCGAAGCUAACGCGUUAAGUAUCCCGCCUGGGAAGUACGGCCGCAAGGCUAAAACUCAAAGGAAUAGACGGGGACCCACACAAGCGGUGGAUCAUGCGGCUUAAUUCGUCAAUAACCGAGGAACCUUACCAGGGCUGGAAACACUAGUGAACCCCCCUAUGAAAGUAGGGGCUACCUCACAAGGACACUAGUUCAGGUGAUGCACGGCUGUCGUCAGCAUGUACCUUGAGGCGCUCCGUUAAAUCGGGCAACAUGCGCUACCCUUACCCUGUGUUUUACGUGUCACAGGGAACUGCCUGAGACAAUCAGGAGGAAGGUGAGGAUGACGCCAAGUCAGCGUGUCCCUUUGAUGUCCUGGGCUGCACGCAUGAUACGAUGGGGCCGACAGCGGGUUGCAAUGCAGCAAUGCGGAGCUAAUCCUUAAACGGUCCCCCAGUUCGGAUCGAGGUCUGAAACUCGACCUCGUGAAGCCGGAAUCGCUAGUAAUCGCGUAUCAGCUAAGGCGCGAUGAAUAUGUUCCUGGGUCUUGUACUCAUCGCCCGUCAACUCAAGCGAGCUGGGAAUACCCGAAGUUCCCGCGAAUUUCAAAGGGCCUAAGGUAGAUUCAGUAAGAGGGAGUAAGUCGUAACAAGGUAACCAAGCGCGAAUUCCGAGCACACCUACUCGCCACUAUAAUGAGUCGUAAACCAAUUACCCCCCCCCCC